UCCAUUGAAACAUUACCAGACCUCUCGUGCCUGGAUAAGCUGAAAAGUUUGUUCAUUGGGCAUUGUUGGAAGCUUCAUAAUGUUAAGGGCUUGGAGAAAAUCGCAUAUGUGCAAAGACGGUAAAAUGAGGGAUUCAACAGCAAGGCCUCGGCAAAUUGCCCACUUCUGUUUAAUUUCGAAGAUUUGAUGGAAUGAUGGGAGUCAUUUUCGCAUGAACUUGCGGAGACCACAGAGCUCCACGAAACAGGCCGUCUUUUCUUCCGGCUAUUGAAAGGGAUUCUUGGGCUUUUGUGGCUGCUUAUCUCCUGAACACUGGAAAACAUUUGUGAUUGCAGAGAAUUACGUGCAUCACCACGUUGGAAGCUCAUGGCAAUUGGAACUUCGAUGGGGAUUGGGAUCGACCUUUCACUAGUCACCCAAAGAGAGCGCCUGAAUUGGGGGAGCUGGUCACAAUGGGAAUAAAUGCUGCGAGACCUUACUAUGAUAUGGGCGUUAUAUC